GGAUCUGGUACAACACCAUCUCGCAGCUAACAGCGGUGUGGGUGGCGAAUAGGGAGACCCCAAUCGCCGACCCCGACUCCUCCGAGUUCACCAUCUCCGAUAAUGGCGACCUCGUCCUCUUCAACCCAUCAAAAUCCCCAAUUUGGUCCGCAGGUGCCAAUAUAACCUCUAAUUCGACCGUCGCCGUGAUCCUCGACACCGGAAACCUUGUUUUGAGGGACGGGUCCGACCCCUCUAGGGUUUUUUGGCAGAGUAUCGACCACCCCACCGACACUUGGCUCCCUACGGGUAAGAUAGGGCUCAACAAGUUGACCGGAGUGAGUCAACGCCUAAUUUCAUGGAAAAACUCAGAUGAUCCAGCUCCUGGGAUCUACUCUCUAGAACUAGACCCUAAUGGGACUAGCCAAUACUUCAUACAAUGGAACAAAACACUAGAAUAUUGGAGUAGUGGGCCUUGGAAUGGGCAGAUCUUUAGCUAUGUCCCGGAGAUGACGGCAAAUUACAUCUACCAAUUCGAAUACGUGUCGAAUGCCACUGAGAAUUACUUCACAUACUCAGUUAAGUACGACUCAAUUACUUCACGAUUCAUCAUGGACUACUCCGGUCAGAUCCAGCAGUACACCUGGGUGGAGCCUAGUGGUUGGAUGCUCUUCUGGUCGCAACCCAGAGCUCAGUGCGAAGUUUACGCUCUCUGCGGGCCUUUCGGUACUUGCAACCAGAAUUCGCUGCCCUUCUGCAACUGUAUGAAGGGUUUCAGCGAAAAAUAUCCGAGUGACUGGAGUUUGGGCGACCAAAGCGGGGGAUGCGUGAGGAAUACACAGCUGAAUUGCGGUGUUCAGAGCUCGGCGAAGACGGAGAAGGAUAAGUUCUAUCUGAUGAAUAGUGUAAAGUUGCCCGAUAAUCUUCGGAGUUUACAAGUCGGGAGUGCCGAUGAUUGUGAAUCAGCUUGCCUUAACAAUUGCUCUUGCACUGCUUAUUCCUAUGACAAUGGAUGUUCGCUAUGGUAUGGGGAUUUGGUUAAUCUACAGGAGCAAUACAAUGGAACUGGCGGAGGCACUCUUUACCUUCGUCUCGCUGCUUCAGAGCUUCCUAGUUCAAAAGGCCACAAAGGUUUGGUUGUUGGGGUAGUAAUCGGUGGAAUUGUAGCCUUCCUAGCACUCCUCGCUAUUGGUGUUAUAUUAAUUUGGAGACACAGGAGGAAAAGACCUAUUAGACUAUCAAAAACAGUCGGAGGCACUUUAAUUGCGUUCAGGUACAGCGAUUUGCAGCGUGUAACAAAGAACUUCUCAGACAAACUGGGGGGAGGUGGCUUUGGUUCUGUGUAUAAAGGGCUUCUACCUGGUUCUACUGCCAUUGCGGUAAAGAAGCUUCAUGGGAUUCAGCAGGGGGAGAAGCAGUUCCGAGCUGAGGUUAGCACUAUCGGGACUAUUCAACAUGUCAACUUGAUUCGUUUACUCGGGUUCUGCUCGGAAGGAACUGCAAGGCUUCUGGUUUAUGAGUACAUGCCAAAGGGUUCUUUAGAUAUGCAGCUAUUCCAAAGCAAUUCUGCAAUCUUAAGUUGGAACACUAGAUACCAAAUUGCCAUCGGAACUGCGAGAGGGUUAGCUUAUCUGCAUGAGAAAUGCAGAGACUGCAUUAUACACUGUGAUAUAAAGCCAGAGAACAUACUAUUGGACUCUUCAUUUGUUCCCAAAGUGGCAGAUUUUGGAUUGGCAAAGCUAAUGGGUCGAGAUUUUAGCCGAGUUUUAACCACAAUGAGAGGGACUAGAGGCUAUCUCGCACCCGAAUGGAUAACUGGUGUUGCUAUUACAGCGAAAGCGGAUGUUUAUAGUUACGGGAUGAUGCUUUUUGAAAUUAUAUCAGGGAGGAGAAAUUCAGAGCAAGGAGAGGGCGGUCAAAGUGGCUUUUUCCCCUCACUAGCUGCGAAAAAGCUCAUUGAGGGCGAUGUGCAAAGCCUGUUGGAUCUCAAGUUGAAUGGGGAUGCAAACAUCGAAGAGCUUGAAAGGGCUUGUAAGGUUGCUUGUUGGUGCAUUCAAGAUGACGAGAGUUCGAGGCCUACAAUGGGUCAGGUUGUUCAAAUCCUUGAGGGCUUUCUAGAACUUAAUAUGCCUCCUAUUCCUAGAUCGCUUCGGGCUCUCGGUGAAAGCCCGGAUUGUAUUAAUUUCUUUUCAGACAUAUCGUCGAGUCAAAGUUCCAAGACGAGAAGCACUACAUCCACAAAUUCUCAAGUUAAAAGUGCUUCUGGCAGUGAGCUCUAAUGGAUGUUUUGAGCUGCUGAACAAACUUCAAGCUGCCUACAAAUGGAGGUUUCUCUCAGACAUAUUUCUAGAGUUUAGCGCAUGUCUGCAGCGGAUAAUUUAGCUUUCUAAAGUAUCUAGUAGUCCAGAAGUAUAUUACACCCAUAUUUAGCAAUCGAGAGAUAUGUAGACAAUAAAUGUUCAAAAGUAUUACUUUGAUAAUUAUUAUCUGUAGUCCCAUAUGCAUUCUCAUGAUUUUCUAGCGUGAGAAAUUCAACUGUGGAAUGCUGAGAAAUAAGCAUAAAGGAUGAACUUCUCAUGCAAACUAAGAAAAGAAUGUACAGUCGAGCUCGUUUAUUUUCUGCUAAACAUACUAUCUUGAAAAAAUUGGUAUACGAAUGAAGUCUCUAUGAAUUUGAUCAGCUAUGCAUGGUCCUAUUCUAUCUAUGUUUGGUUGUCUCCUUCAGUAUUCUGCUCUUUCAUUAUAUUUACAGUAUCCAAAAACCAAAAUUAACAGGAAAAAGAAAAACAAAGGGAGCAAACUGCAUCGAUUUGAAAGACGAAUUUAAAGAGCAACUCCCAAUCAGCGCUUCCUCGAGAUGAAGAACUCAUAAUCCGGAUGCAUGUUAGUAGCAAUUUUGUGAUUCUUUCGAACAUUUCCCCUAGCAAAAAUGGCAGCUGUUUCCUCUAGAGCUCUUAAUCUUUCUUUAACUAACUCUGAGAAGUCCAAUUGCUUCCCUUCAAUUGAAACAGACCCAGUUGGCUUCAUCGAGCGAAACCAACACUCGCCCUGUAAAAAUGUAAGCACUUAGAUUGUAAGUGAAUGAAAACAACAUAAAAGUGAAUUAUUUUUUUGAUAAAUUAUAAGGACAUCAUUAUACAGAUGUCAGCAUGUAUAUCAUUUAGAAAAGCACAGCCUUUCAAAAAGCGUAUUAUAUUGUUCAUCUCCUGAAUUAUGGUUCCAUUACAUAAGCUUAUAUCGGCUGAAGAAAUAAAAAGAUAGUAGCUAAGUGCAAACAGCUGAGCAAUGGUCGCAAAUUUGACAAAAGAUGCAAAAAUGUGCAUAACUCUGGAUUCAUACAAACAUCCAAAGUGAAUAACCUCUCUUUAAAAGCGUAAGACCAGUUAUCAACAAAUAAUAAACGAAGUUAUAUGUCUAUUGUCGUCGAGUUGACAAUUUGUGUCACACUCUAUUGACAGCGUAAUACAACCUAUGAUUGGAUAGACCAAAGUCAUUAUCACGACAUAAUAUCUGUGAAAUUUCAUUUAUUAUUGCAAAUAAAUGCGAUUUUUUCACGAUUUCACACAUUAGUUUACCACAAAACAGUUAUCUAUCUCAACAAAAGGCAUAACUAACACUGCCAAAGUUAAAAUUGCAACAAUCAUACAAAUACUGAUAGUUAGUAAUAGAGUUAAUGACUUGAAAUGCAAAUUAAUAAAUAGCAGCAUGUUGCCGCAUACAGAUAGCAUAUUUCACUUCAAAUACUUCAUUAUGUUUCUAAAUAAUGUCGUCCCAUUUAAUGCGCCGCAUUUACCUGUGCGUUGUAGCUCUGCAUUCCAAGUACAGGAGACUCCACACGGAAGGAGCUUUUUUCCACACUAUCUGACACACUAUGUCUAAAAACGAGAUGGCCUAAAGAAUGAUAAGUCAGGAACGCUGCAUGUAGACUACCUUCUGGAAUUCUAUAUAUCGGAUGCCAAGCAACUGAGUACCUGGAAAAUAAGUAAAUACAUAUGCCAUCAGCUCCUUGUGAAAUUUAAGUGGACUUUGAAUCAUUACCGCAAGGCAUAGAGGGGGAGGUCAUAAGCGUCUAUACCGUAAAAUUGAUUUUCGACGGAAUCAAAAAGACAUAUCUGGUAGAAUCGUAACCAUAGAAUACGACCCUAAUCGAAAUGCAUACAUUUGUCUCAUACACUAUGGGGAUGGUGAGAAGAGAUAUAUUUUACAUCCCAGAGGGGCUAUAAUCGGAGAUAUCAUUGUUUCUGGUACAGAAAGCUUUUCAGUAUUCACUACUUACCAAGAUGCAGGGUGGACAUCACGCAAUUUCAUGCAAUCAAAUACCAAUAUCCAAAAUGCGUAGAGUACUCCUCAAAAACCGAAAUUUUUACCCUAAAAAAUAGGAAAAAUUAUCCAAGAAAAAGAUUACUUACUUAAACCAAAUUUAAUCCCAACCUUUAAACUGCAUUGCUUAUAUAGAAAUUUCUCAUCCAAUUCAGAUGAUGUACUAAGCUAAAUUAAAAAUUAAAGAAAUUAAAGCAAAUUUCUUUAAUGUGUGCAAGAGUUUUACUGAGAAUAAAAUGUUCAUUAUUAUUAUUACUGAGAAUAUAAUAAUAAUGUUCAUUAUUAUUGAGUUUAUUGAUGCUGUGGAAUCCUAUAGUCUCUCCGCGUGAGCGGAGAAAUAAUUGCCCUUUGCAUUAAAUUUUGACAAUGAGGUGUGCAUAUGUCAAUUCAGAAGAUGAGGACACUUGAGUCCUAUAUUUAAGCUUUAGGUAAAUUGCGCUACUAGUCCCUGAACUUUUGGUGUUUUAACUUUGAUUUUGGCAUUUGCGGUCUGAAACUUUUGAUAAAAUUUUCUUUUAGCUCUUUACAUUUGAACAGUGUUUAAUUUUAGUAGGAUUAUCAUAAAAUAAAAGUUGUUCUUUACAUCUAAUUUAUAUGAAAGCUCGUGGACCAUAAAUUUAUUAAUUCUUUAAUUAUCGCAUACCAUCGAUUCAAAAAACAGAAAAGCUCAAUAAAUGAUAGCAUUGAAAUAUGAGCUAGAAAAGAAAUCGAAAAAUGCAGAGCAUAACGAGACACAGAUUCAUAACCUGCCGUAUAGACAAUAAUUUAUCUUUUAUCAAUAGUACACACAAAGACCUAAAUAAAAUUUUUUAAAAAAUUUAGAAAUUAUUAAUAUCAAAUUUGAAAGUUCAGCAGUUAAAAUAAAUCUAUUAAAAAUUUGAGAACAAUAUAGUAUUGUUUAAAAAUUUUAUAAAGAGGGUCGAAGCUCAGACCUGCUGUGGUCGGCCCUCAUAGAUUAAACCUGACCAGCUAGAUACACCGAACAUGCUAUAUUAGCAAGACGUUCUACCAACGAAAAAGUAUACUAUAUCACACUUGCAUCACAUCAUCAGCAACAAGUCAAUUAUAUCCUUCUCAAACAAAAAUAUCUUUUUACUAAUCAUGAUGGAACGUAUCAGUAUAUCACCUAAGAAAGAUAAUUUUUUUAGUUGGAGAUGCUACGUCAGUAAUAUAACUCGUGCAUUAUAGAUUUUUCCCACCUAAGUAAGCCCAUCUGAUCUGCAGGGCAUCCAACGGUCCAGAUUAAACAAGUCCUCUUCCCACACGGUGGGCCCAACGAUCAACGUGGCGACCAACCAUGGGUUUCUUACUCUUUCAGUCUUUCUCUCGCUUAGAUUACAGAACCAAUUAAAGAUAGCCACGUGCACAGCCGAAGCACCACGUCAUAGCAAACACCUGUAGCGGAUCUCCAACUACGAAUGAACGCAUUCGACGCCCUGCAAGAGGGGUCACCGAAGAAACCCUGCAAGAAGGGGCACCGAAUAAAAGUUGACUCAUGAAUGCAAAGAAGGAAACCAACCCACCCACACAAAUUCGCAUCAGUGGGCCCGCACGCAUUCGUCGUGUCAUGUAUCAUUGAAACUACAGAGGAAGAGACACACACUCUCUCUAUUCAUUCAUCAUUAAACAAUGACCAUUUCGCGUCAAAACUGUUACACCUAUUCACUCCUCAAAUUUACGAAAAUGCCACCCGCCCUUUUAGACAAUUCAAAUGCCGUUCUCUUCUUCUUUUUCUUCUUCUUCUUCCUCCUCCUCCUCCUCCUCCUCCUCGUUCCACCUCUCACUCUCUCUCUCUUUCUCUCUCUCUACCGCCUCCAUGGCGACUCCAAAAACCCCCUUUUCCCUUCCCUUUCCUCUCUCUCUUCUCCCCAGCUUCUUCUUCUUCUUCUUCUUCUUCUUCCUCUUUCUUUCUCUUCAAUCCCACCUCUCCAUGGCCGCGGACACCAUCUCCCCAACCCAGCCCCUCUCCGGGACCCAAAAGCUCGUCUCCAAAGGUGGCAAGUUUGCUCUGGGCUUCUUCCAACCAGGUAACUCCUCCUCCUGGUACGUAGGGAUCUGGUACAACACCAUCUCGCAGCUAACAGCGCUGUGGGUGGCGAAUAGGGAGACCCCAAUCGCCGACGCCGACUCCUCCGAGCUCACCAUCUCCGAUAGUGGCGACCUCGUCCUCUUCAACCCAUCAAAAUCCCCAAUUUGGUCUGCAGGUGCCAAUAUAACCUCCAAUUCGACUGUCGCCGUGAUCCUCGACACGGGAAACCUUGUUUUGAGGGACGGGUCCGACCCCUCUAGGGUUUUUUGGCAGAGUAUCGACCACCCCACCGACACUUGGUUCCCUGGGGGUAAGCUAGGGCUCAACAAGUUGACUGGGGUGAAUCAACGAC
rnacentral:lncRNA from 1 species